rnacentral:lncRNA from 1 species
AGGAAGCCCGCAGCUCAGGAGUGGACCAUCUCUGUCCCGUUUCCCUUUUCAGAUGGCCAAUCUUCUGUCAGACUUCAGGUCCAUCUAUUUGCUGAAUAAGAUGAGGCGCCUUACCUGCUUUUUGGUUUGCUUGCAUACCUGCUAUUACUUCAGCUGUCAAGAUGGUUUCACAGCCAAACAUGGCUCAGCAAGGAGUAAAGUUAUCUGAAGACUGGUUGUUAACUACAAGUUUUUCUCAGAUGCACAAAAUUAAUGAACGGGUAGAGCAAUUUUGCAGAGAGUGGAAUACUCAGAGGUCCAUACUGGAGCAGAAACAGAAGAAGGAUCAAAAGACAUUGUUGCUCUAUUUUUACCUGCUCGAAUGCCCAAAGACUUCACUCAUGAGUCCUCCAGACGUGUCACAGAGGUGCAACGACGUACUCAGAGGCAGGCAUCUAAUUGUCUCCAACCUCGGUGAGAGAUGA